UGGCCGAAACUCCCAACUAUAAGAGACUCAGAAAAACCUUCAUUAUUUUGCUUGUGAACCAGGGGGAUUUCCGUGAAUCAUUCUACAGAGAAGACCUUCCGUAAUAAUCACAGACUGACUACUGAAGUUGACUGAACUGACCCCUCUUGAAGUGUGACGUCAUGACAAUGCCAGGGGUGAAAGUUGACGAGGAAGUUAAUAUCGUCUUCAACGACAUGAAGUUACUUCACGCAUACAGAUGGGCCAUUUUCAAGAUCACAGAUGAGAAGGUUGUGACUGUGGACACCAAGGCCACGGGGGGUCAAGGCUUCACCGAGUUUUACGACAGCCUGAAGAAAUCGAAUCAACCGCGCUACGCCCUCUACA